rnacentral:rRNA from 1 species
GGUUCAGGACGAACGCUGGCGGCGUGCCUAAUACAUGCAAGUCGAACGGUCUUUCUAUGGAAGCUUGCUUCCACUGAGAAGAUAGUGGCGAACGGGUGAGUAACACGUGGGUAACCUGCCCAUAAGAGGGGGAUAACAUCCGGAAACGGGUGCUAAUACCGCAUAGUUUUCUUGGUCGCAUGAUCGGGAAAGGAAGACGGCCUUUGUGCUGUCGCUUAUGGAUGGACCCGCGGCGUAUUAGUUAGUUGGUGAGGUAACGGCUCACCAAGACGAUGAUACGUAGCCGACCUGAGAGGGUGAUCGGCCACAUUGGGACUGAGACACGGCCCAAACUCCUAUGGGAGGCAGCAGUGGGGAAUAUUGCACAAUGGGGGAAACCCUGAUGCCAGCAACGCCGCGUGAGUGAUGACGGCCUUCGGGUUGUAAAGCUCUGUCUUCAGGGACGAUAAUGACGGUACCUGAGGAGGAAGCCACGGCUAACUACGUGCCAGCCGCCGC